GCGGACGGGUGAGUAAUGCUUGGGAAUCUGGCUUAUGGAGGGGGAUAACUACUGGAAACGGUAGCUAAUACCGCGUAAUAUCGUAAGAUUAAAGGGUGGGACCUUCGGGCCACCUGCCAUAAGAUGAGCCCAAGUGGGAUUAGGUAGUUGGUGAGGUAAUGGCUCACCAAGCCGACGAUCUCUAGCUGGUCUGAGAGGAUGACCAGCCACACUGGAACUGAGACACGGUCCAGACUCCUACGGGAGGCAGCAGUGGGGAAUAUUGCACAAUGGGGGGAACCCUGAUGCAGCCAUGCCGCGUGAA
rnacentral:rRNA from 1 species